AUGACAGCUCUCAGCCACUGCUGCACCUGCAUGCUAACCAAUGUUGGCUUUUCAUCUGAUUUAAUCAAGGAUCAGAAUGGGAGGUUCUCAUGUAGCGAUGGCUUCAACCCUCCUUCCUUUGUUUUUAGAUGGCAGCGAGCUUCACCAGCAGCAUUUCAGCACCACCACAUGAUGGCCCUGAUCCUCCUCACAUGUGUGCUCCUGUCUUUGUGGCUUCGAGGUCAUUGCCAAGAUGUGAUUCAGAUCCCUGAAGUCAGCUGGACUGAUGUUACCAAGUCUGCUGAGAUGAACUGCAGCCACAACAGAGAUAAAAGCUACAACCAAAUGUACUGGUACAGACAGCGUCCAGGGGAGACCAUGACCCUGAUCGUGUUCACGGUGUUUGGUGGGAAGCCCGACUACGGCCAGAGCUCUCAGAGCAAAUACUCAGCAGUCAAAGACAGCAUAGAGACCGGCGCUCUGACUGUGAAGAACGUGCAGCCUGAUGACAGAGGGCUGUACUUCUGUGCUGUCAGUAAACACAGUGAUGUGAGAAGAGGGAACAGCUGAACAAAAACCUGACUUCUAAUUCAUCUGUCUGAUGCUUUUAAUAUUAAACUGGCUGAUUUUAUUCCAGUAGAGGGCGCUGGAGCUCCAGAAGGACUUUUGUCAUAUUUGGCAAGGUGGUUUGGUGGAGUUGUAGAUGCUUUUAUGUGUUCACUAUGCCUGCAAAUAUGUACUUUUUGUUAUUAGUAAUUCAUAUUACGAAUUCAGAAAUCUGACAUAUUCCACUCAUUUAAAAUCCUUUUUUGAAGCUGUCUGAGUCCUGAAACACCUUUUUAGAAAAUUCAGAGACAAAGUCCACAAUCUCUUCUAACCAAGUCCUCUUAUGCUUAACCUGUUUAACCCUAACGCCCCCCAAUUGGGGGCCUCUACAGUGUCAUGUCCCAAAUAUCUACAACUGUCCACAUUCUCCAAACACAACUAAAACCACAAUCAAACAGCCCAGAUGGGAAACAAGGCAAUUUUAAAUAGUAAUAAAUUAAGAUACAAUGAUAUUUGAGCUUUAUUUUAGAAGAGCAUCUGGCCUUCACUGGUGUCUGCUGGCGAAAAAAACCUUGAACAAGUUUAGCUGAGGAUCCCUGGAAUAAAUAAAACAAUAGACUAAAUUUUCUAAAUGGAAUUUGAACUCACAACCUCCAUCCUGUCAGCACUUUCACACAGGGCAGCUCUUCUAAAACAAAGUUCAAGUAUUAUUUUAUCCUAAUGUAUCAAAAUCCAAAAAUAGCUUUGUUUACAAUCUAAACUGUUUUGAUUGUAGCUGUGCUUGGGGAAUGCAAACAAUCACUGACACUUGGGACAUGAAACUCCAAAGGCCCCCAAUUGGGAGGUGCCAGGGGACAAAGAAAAAAGGCCUAGGGCCUAAAGGGUCCAAUUAAUCUUGUGAUUUUCCCCUUAAAAACCAAGAAUGAUAACUUCUCCCGUGUGUCUCUCACAGGUACUCUCUCACUCCUUGUCUGAAAACUCAAACCUCUGCAUCCUGCUUCUCAGUCUCAAAUUGGCCGUUUGCUCUCAGUCGCCCGCCUGUUCACCUGCAGUCCCUCUCUUGUGCCUCUCACCCUUAUAAAAUCUUUUCUCCCGCUGGAUAAACCCUGGUGCUAGGACUCCCCACCCCUCUAAACUCAUUAAAUCCACCACUAACUUCGUUCUGCUUUCAGAUUCUCCUCUGAAUCAGGAAUCCUAUUAUAUAUUUUGUAAAUGAACUUAGUUAUCUUAUCCCUUUGUCAGCUUGACUGAUUCUGCAUGAGGAUCAGGAAAUUUACUAAACCCUUUUCUACAGGUUCUCUACAAGUCCACCACUGAUACUCAGCGCAAAAAAAUCAAUAAAUUCUUCCAUCAAAUCUCAAAGCUUCAUUCAGCUGUUUUAUGAACACUC